GCUGACGACCGGCGCACGGGUGCGUAACGCGUAUACAAUCUACCUUUUACAGGGGGAUAGCCCGGGGAAACCCGGAUUAAUAUCCCAUGGUAUCAUUGAAUGGCAUCAUUUAGUGAUUAAAGCUUCGGCGGUAAAAGAUGAGUAUGCGUCCUAUUAGUUAGUUGGUAAGGUAACGGCUUACCAAGGCAUCGAUAGGUAGGGGUCCUGAGAGGGAGAUCCCCCACACUGGUACUGAGACACGGACCAGACUCCUACGGGAGGCAGCAGUGAGGAAUAUUGGACAAUGGGCGAGAGCCUGAUCCAGCCAUGCCGCGUGCAGGAAGACUGCCCUAUGGGUUGUAAACUGCUUUUAUACGGGAAGAAACACUCCUUCGUGAAGGAGCUUGACGGUACCGUACGAAUAAGGAUCGGCUAACUCCGUGCCAGCAGCCGCGGUAAUACGGAGGAUCCAAGCGUUAUCCGGAAUCAUUGGGUUUAAAGGGUCCGUAGGCGGGUAUGUCAGUCAGUGGUGAAAGUCUGCAGCUCAACUGUAGAACUGCCAUUGAUACUGCAUACCUUGAGUAAUUAUGAAGUGGUUAGAAUAUGUAGUGUAGCGGUGAAAUGCAUAGAUAUUACAUAGAAUACCGAUUGCGAAGGCAGAUCACUAAUAAUUUACUGACGCUGAUGGACGAAAGCGUAGGUAGCGAACAGGAUUAGAUACCCUGGUAGUCUACGCCGUAAACGAUGGUUACUAGCUGUUUGGCUCGAUUGAGAGCUGAGUGGCUAAG
rnacentral:rRNA from 1 species